rnacentral:rRNA from 1 species
GACGAACGCUGGCGGCGUGCUUAACACAUGCAAGUCGAACGGAAAGGCCCUUCGGGGUACUCGAGUGGCGAACGGGUGAGUAACACGUGGGUGAUCUGCCCUGCACUUUGGGAUAAGCCUGGGAAACUGGGUCUAAUACCGAAUAGGACCACGCGCUUCAUGGUGUGUGGUGGAAAGCUUUUGCGGUGUGGGAUGGGCUCGCGGCCUAUCAGCUUGUUGGUGGGGUAAUGGCCUACCAAGGCGACGACGGGUAGCCGGCCUGAGAGGGUGACCGGCCACACUGGGACUGAGAUACGGCCCAGACUCCUACGGGAGGCAGCAGUGGGGAAUAUUGCACAAUGGGCGCAAGCCUGAUGCAGCGACGCCGCGUGAGGGAUGACGGCCUUCGGGUUGUAAACCUCUUUCACCAGGGACGAAGCGUAAGUGACGGUACCUGGAGAAGAAGCACCGGCCAACUACGUG